rnacentral:rRNA from 1 species
CCUACGGGUGACAGCAGUGGGGAAUAUUGGACAAUGGGGGAAAGCCUGAUGCAGCGACGCCGCGUGAGUGAAGAAGUAAUUAGGUAUGUAAAGCUCUAUUAGUAGGGAAGAAAAGGACGGUACGUGAGGAAGAAUCACCGGCCAACUACGGGCCAGCAGGCGUGGCAAUACGUAGGGGGCAAGCGUGAUCCGGAGUUACUGGGUGUAAAGGGAGCGUAGGCGGCAGUGCAAGUCUGGAGUGAAAGGCGCGGGUCCAACCCCCGGCGUGCCCUGGAAACUGUACGGCUGGAGUGUAGGAGAGGUAAGUGGAAUUCCUGGUGUAGCGGUGAAAUGCGUAGAUAUCAGGAGGAACACCAGUGGCGAAGGCGGCGUACUGGACUGUAACUGACGCUGAGGCUCGAAAGCGUGGGGAGCAAACAGGAUUAGAUACCCUUGUAGUC